UACGAAGGGGGCUAGCGUUGUUCGGAAUUACUGGGCGUAAAGCGCGCGCAGGCGGCUAUCCAAGUCAGUGGUGAAAGCCCGGAGCUCAACUCCGGAACUGCCAUUGAAACUGUUUAGCUUGAGGACGAGAGAGGUGAGUGGAAUUCCGAGUGUAGAGGUGAAAUUCGUAGAUAUUCGGAAGAACACCAGUGGCGAAGGCGGCUCACUGGUCCGGUACUGACGCUGAGGUGCGAAAGCGUGGGGAGCAAACAGG
rnacentral:rRNA from 1 species